ACCUUCCAAACACCCCCUCCCACCAUCCAACCGGCCAGCCUCCUCCCUCCUCCAAUCCUCCGAACCCUAAUCCUCCUCCUCGCCGCCGCCCUCUCUGCACCUCCCCGCCGCCACCUCCCCUCCCCUUGUCCCGGCCCUCCGGCGCUCUCUCUUUCUCUCAGAUCCCAGUUGCGGGCCAGCAGACGGCCGCCCCCAACGCUAUGGCGGAGGCGUUGUGACGAGGUCACCCAUCCGGCGCCUGUCUGCGGGCCGUGCGGCGCCCCAUGCUGCUGAGAGGUGGGAUAGGAGAGGGGGCGGGCCGUUCCAUGGGCGGCGGUGUUACGCGCGGCGGGCGUACGCGACGCGCGGGGUGGAGCGGGGCAGCGCGCGUGGUGGGGCGGGCGGCGGCGGCACCUACCCGCCGGCCGUGCGACACCCAAUGCUGCUGGCAGGUGGGCCACCGCUCGGCUCGGCUCGGCUGCCGGGCAGCCGGGGAUUCCGGCUUCGGCGGCGGGCCCCUGCUCCGAGGCCGCGAUGGGGACAAGGCUUACCACGCCGUCGCCGCCCUCAAGGAGGAGCUCAGUGCGGAGCGGGCGCUCUGGCGGCAGCGGAGCAGGCGAACGCGAAGCUGAUGCGCGAGCUGGCGCCUGGCGGAGGCGAGGUCGUCGGCCAAGCAGCAGGCGCACAACUACGAGAUGGAGUGCAAGGCCCGCGAGCUGAUGGAGGAGGCGCUGGGGCCCCGCCGGUGCUGCAGCCGCGGACACGCCGUGGCCGGCCGGCCUCUACCAUUUGCAGCGAGCUGAAAGCGAGGGGCGCGCCAAGGCGAGGGCCCUUUCCCACGGUAACUUUUCUGCAAUGUAUAUACGCUCUUCUGCUCCUAUGCCCUCCUCUUGCAGGUCGCCAUCGACCUCAAAUCUGGUGUCGACGAUUCCAUGGACAAUGUCCUUAUUGUGUUUGGUGAAAUGGGCAGAAGGUACAUCCUUACUUCUUUUCUCUUUCAAUUUUGCAUACAGAUUUUGACAGCCCCUAUCCCUAUCCGUUGUGCUUGCACAUUCUGGUUCAGAGGUCAAAGUUUAGAAGAGAGAUGACAUGAGUUCAGUGGAACUGCAAUUGUAGUUAUGUCAUGCUAUGUGAGUACAUUGUGUUCAGUAUACAUUGAGCAACGGUUGAUGGAUUGUAAUUUGUGGUAUAGAGAUGUGGUUUAGAGUAGAGGAUCAAAAUAUAUUUCAGUUCAGAUUUCUUUCUAUAAGCUUUAGAAGUGAACAUCUUGAUGUAGAGUAGCAACAUUCAUGAAUAUUUAGAUUGAACCAACCUAUAAUUGAUAGUCUUAUUGGUUAGCCAAGUUGAUCUGUAAUUCAGUAUAGAUUAAAAGUGUAAACUCAUGAAAACGUGAAGCUGUCUUGAAUCAGAGGCACUUUCUUAUGCAUUGAAACUAACGAUAGUUUUAGAGGUGGAUGAGUGAAAACUACAUCACUGUAGAGAAAAGUAUACUAAGUAUGGCAAUACCAAGUUAGUGAAUUUUUUCAAUGUGGAAAAAGAACCUCGGUUCCAGCACUGGGAGCCCGCCUUCUGCGCAUUAAGCGUAAACGCCUUCUCCUUGUCUGAGUUUGGGUUCUGUUACAUCAGCUCGCGUUGCUCGUGCUUCUCAGAAGAACGCAGUUGUCUGCUAUGCAGUGCGAAGGUUUGUUGAAGUAUGAGUACACCAAAUUUCAAGCGACACACGAUAAGUUUUGCAAAGACAAAGGUGCACAUAUACAGAAUUUCAAAGGUAUGCCAGAUAAGAGAUAAGCAGCAACCUAUUGUGAUGUGCGAUAUUUCUUAUCAUCCAUCUUUAUCGAUGUCAUGCUCAAGCAGUAAUAUCCUUAUAAAGUUAUAGUUUCGUCUUGCACAUGUCAUGCUUAUGCAGGUCUCAGAAUAUCCUAACCGUUUCAUCUGAAAUAUGACAUGUUUUGAUCUCGAAGUCCAGAUAUUACUUGGCUACAAAUGAGUUUUGUAGUUUGCCUGUUUGUUAUUAUAGGGAACCUAUAGACAAUUUGACCUUGGGAAACUCCAGUAUGCGCAUCUGUAUAAUUUGCUAGCAGUUUUACAGCUACUAAAUGCCUUUAAUCCUACUUCAUAUCGUAAUGUGAAAUCAUGCAUAGAGUGCUGUGCUGUGCCUAUACUAUCUCUUCCUGAGUUUCACUGAGAUAGUUGUCAUCAGUUAUACACACUCGUUUCAAUUGACUUAUCUGUCUGCUGUUUUCUGCAGAUCUUUUCUCUGAUUUAAAAAAAAAACUCGACCUGCGAGGGGCAAGCCGCCCCCCGGGCAUUAACGUAAGAAGAAGACCUCUCACGCAGGCCGAGAAAACCCCCGAACCCCUGCCCCACCCUUACACAGGGGCGCCGUAACCCAUACCGUAACCCGUGUGAGAGCGGGCCGGGGUGAGCCGGGACCUAAUUCCAUGUGCUUUGGCGUGUAGGCAGGCGAGGGGAUUUUUUUAACAUCAGCCUGAAAUUCGCUCCCACCGGGAGUCGAACUCAGGACCUAAGGAGUGCUACUGAGGCCACCUAACCAAUCCGGCUAGGCACCGAUAAAGAGAAAUCGCUCACUGUCAACUCAUUUUAGGAUAUUUUUGACCCUUCUGUUUUGAUUGUAGCGAAUAAGGCUAAAAUCAGUUCGAUUUUCCUUAUUGCAGCUCUAAGUUAGCAUAAUGGUUUUAUUUAUGAAAAGAUAUAUGGUGGCUUUGAGAAGAUACAGUCUUCAGUAAGUUUUCUUGUGUAAAUAAUCCUUUUACUUGUUAUCAUUAUAAUAGGAUCAUAACAUUGUUUCCUUUGUUAGAUCUGUGACCUUGUUGACGUUGCCAGGCUCUUAAAUGUUACCCUGGUUAUUACUGAGAUAAAAGUAACAACUCAUGCAAAAGGCAUCAGGUUGAUAUGUCCUUGCUCAUUCUGAAAUUCAUUAUGGUAGUUUAUCUAUUCCUUGUACCCUGUUUUUUUCUGUUUGACCUCUAAAUAUAGCACUCCCUCUGUUCCGACCUUGCAGUCCAAAGUUCAAAAGCUUUUCUUAUCUAUAUGAUGAAGAUCAUUUCAUAGAUUCGCUUUCCAAUGAUGUGGUUAUUGUUGCGGCUUGCCAAAGGAUCUCAGAGGCUUAAAAAGGAUAAAAUUUUCCACAGUAUCUCCUAGGAAUUCUGCCACUCUAGAGUACUACAUAACAGAAGUAUUACCCAGACUUGUAAACUCAAAAGCUAUUGGGAUAAUUGUUAACGGAUGUAAUUGUCUUAUGUCAAUUCUCCCUAUAAACCCGGAGGAAUUUCAGAAGCUUAGAUGCAAGGUAGCUUCAUACCGUAAUAUGUUUAUUUCUGAUUUUCUUGUGUGGUUUCUUAAUAGGAUGUAAAUUGCUAAUGGAAGUUGCUGCAUCCAGAGGAUGGAUGAUAUGCGUGGAGAUUCUUUUGCCUGUAACAAUUUCUUUGGAGAAAUUUGCAAGCUUGAGCAUUCCUCAAAUGUUUAAACAAGAAACGUGCAUUCCUGCUCUCCAAUUUUUAUUUGAUUCUAUUGCUGGAUUUGAUUUUUGAAA